CCGUCUUGAAACACGGACCAAGGAGUCUAACAUGUGCGCGAGUCGUUGGGUUGUCUUCCCAGAGACGAAACCCGUUCGGCGCAAUGAAAGUGAAGGUCGUGUUCGGUUAGACGUGCAGUCCAGUACGGAAAUCGGCCGACCGAAGCGGGAUCCGCAAAAGAAAGGGCCUGUAUGGUUUAAUGGAACAAGAGCCCUGCGGCGCACCGCUGGCCCGUCUUCUCCGCAGCGUCGGUGAGGCGGAGCUUGAGCGUACACGUUGGGACCCGAAAGAUGGUGAACUAUGCUCGGGCAGGACGAAGCCAGAGGAAACUCUGGUGGAGGUCCGUAGCGAUUCUGACGUGCAAAUCGAUCGUCAGACCUGAGUAUAGGGGCGAAAGACUAAUCGAACCAUCUAGUAGCUGGUUCCCCC
rnacentral:rRNA from 1 species